UGGAUCCAGACUUUGAUUCUGGCUCAGGAUGAACGCUAGCUACAGGCUUAACACAUGCAAGUCGAGGGGAAACGACAUCGAAAGCUUGCUUUUGAUGGGCGUCGACCGGCGCACGGGUGAGUAACGCGUAUCCAACCUGCCCACCACUUGGGGAUAACCUUGCGAAAGUAAGACUAAUACCCAAUGAUAUCUCUAGAAGACAUCUGAAGGAGAUUAAAGAUUUAUCGGUGAUGGAUGGGGAUGCGUCUGAUUAGCUUGUUGGCGGGGUAACGGCCCACCAAGGCGACGAUCAGUAGGGGUUCUGAGAGGAAGGUCCCCCACAUUGGAACUGAGACACGGUCCAAACUCCUACGGGAGGCAGCAGUGAGGAAUAUUGGUCAAUGGACGAGAGUCUGAACCAGCCAAGUAGCGUGCAGGAUGACGGCCCUAUGGGUUGUAAACUGCUUUUAUAAGGGAAUAAAGUGAGUCUCGUGAGACUUUUUGCAUGUACCUUAUGAAUAAGGACCGGCUAAUUCCGUGCCAGCAGCCGCGGUAAUACGGAAGGUCCGGGCGUUAUCCGGAUUUAUUGGGUUUAAAGGGAGCGUAGGCCGGAGAUUAAGCGUGUUGUGAAAUGUAGACGCUCAACGUCUGCACUGCAGCGCGAACUGGUUUCCUUGAGUACGCACAAAGUGGGCGGAAUUCGUGGUGUAGCGGUGAAAUGCUUAGAUAUCACGAAGAACUCCGAUUGCGAAGGCAGCUCACUGGAGCGCAACUGACGCUGAAGCUCGAAAGUGCGGGUAUCGAACAGGAUUAGAUACCCUGGUAGUCCGCACGGUAAACGAUGGAUGCCCGCUGUUGGUCUGAAUAGGUCAGCGGCCAAGCGAAAGCAUUAAGCAUCCCACCUGGGGAGUACGCCGGCAACGGUGCAACUCAAAUGAAUUGACGGA
rnacentral:rRNA from 2 species